rnacentral:rRNA from 1 species
GGGUUGUGAGGUUAAGCGACUAAGCGUACACGGUGGAUGCCCUGGCAGUCAGAGGCGAUGAAGGACGUGCUAAUCUGCGAAAAGCGUCGGUAAGGUGAUAUGAACCGUUAUAACCGGCGAUGUCCGAAUGGGGAAACCCAGUGCAAUUCGUUGCACUAUCGUUAACUGAAUACAUAGGUUAACGAGGCGAACCGGGGAACUGAAACAUCUAA